CUGGGCUCCCUCGGCCCACGUCAGCCCCCGGCCUGCUAGUGGCAGGCCCAGAUUAGGGGAUGUGCCAAAUCCACUCGAGUCUUCCUUGAAUCCAAGGAGCAGAUGAGCAGAACGGGGCUGAACACAGCGGAGUACAGGAAAGAACUAUGAGGAGAGUCCCAGAAAAAAGCUUACCAGACCUCAUCCGUACCAGCAACGAAAGCAAAUAGGAUGUCACUAGGCAGGACAAAAAGCAGCUACGCUUCCUUUCAGAAACACUGAGCCAAAGCCACACUGAUUAUCAGCUGUCUGCGCAGUCGAUUUCAUUUGAGAACGUGGACAUCUCAGGAACCUUGCUGCUUUUUAUUUUCUUUUACAGCUGUCUCUGACAAGGUGGAACGAUACAUGAGAAAAACCAAAACUCAGAGGAGUUGGCUUAUAAUGUGUCAUUCCCAUAUUUUGACCCAUCUUUUCAAACGAAACUUGUGUGCUAUUGGUUCAUAAAUGGUCUAUAAAAUGAUGAAGCUGGAAAAAAAAUAAGGUUCAAGCCAACACACAGGGUAGAGGAAUAGGCUUAUCCACUGCUUUUUCUCUAAAAAUGGUACGGCUAGAACUACUUGAGGCUUUGUGGGACUGCUAAGCCACCAUAGGCCUGUCAAGGGUCUCCACCUGUUGAUUUUUAUAUUCAAAGGCUAUUCAGAUGCUCUUCAAAAAUGCUGAAAAUUAAAAGCCUGGAUUCUGUCCAACUCUUUGUUCUUCUAGUACACUAUUGUUCAAAAGAUGUUCAAUGACAACAAAUUAGAGAAAAUGUAUUCACUCAGUAGACCAUAGAUAUGGCCUACUAGUGCCAGAUGUCCCUGGGGAUAUGAUGAUCACGAAAAUUUUACAUUACUGUUAUCUGCAAAAAUUAUGAUGGACAUGUUCAUAAUCUUGAUUAUGGUGAUAGCUUCAUAGGUGUAUACAUGUCAUAACUCAUCAAAUUGUUUACUAUAAAUAUGUGCAAUUUAAUGGAUAUCUAUUUUACCUCAAUAAAGCUAUAAAAAAUCACCCCCUCCAACAACAACAACCAAAAAAUUCUUGGUUAUCAUGAAUCAUCGUGGUUUUUGAAAUCUUUCCAUGGGUAAAACAAGCCUGUGUAAGAAAUCUUUAAGACAAAAAGCUGUUCCACUGCAGUCUUUCUGUGUAGCUUAAUCCUGUUGUGUAAUCAGGGGGCACUUGUGAGAUUUUUUUCAAAUCUAUUGUUUAGGACCCCUUGAAGCCAUCAGAGAUACCAGAAGGGAAUUUCCCAGUUUUAUUAUAACAUGCCAAGAACACAGAAAGCUCUAACUCUAUAACAUUAAGUGGUUAUAAAUGGUACUGAAUAUUUGAGAAUUGUUCUGGUAGGGCAGUUUCAUACAGAAUUACACAGAAUAUGUUAUUUUCUUUCCCUGAGAAACACUCAUGAAAGUCAUCAUUAAAAAACUGCAAUAGCAA